UUAAGCGACUAAGCGUACACGGUGGAUGCCCUGGCAGUCAGAGGCGAUGAAGGACGUGCUAAUCUGCGAAAAGCGUCGGUAAGGUGAUAUGAACCGUUAUAGCCGGCGAUGUCCGAAUGGGGAAACCCAGUGUGAUUCGUCACACUAUCGUUAACUGAAUACAUAGGUUAACGAGGCGAACCGGGGGAACUGAAACAUCUAAGUACCCCGAGGAAAAGAAAUCAACCGAGAUUCCCCCAGUAGCGGCGAGCGAACGGGGAGCAGCCCAGAGUCUGAAUCAGCUUGUGUGUUAGUGGAACGGUCUGGAAAGUCCGACGGUACAGGGUGAUAGUCCCGUACACCAAAAUGCACAGGCUGUGAACUCGAAGAGUAGGGCGGGACACGUGGUAUCCUGUCUGAAUAUGGGGGGACCAUCCUCCAAGGCUAAAUACUCCUGACUGACCGAUAGUGAACCAGUACCGUGAGGGAAAGGCGAAAAGAACCCCGGCGAGGGGAGUGAAAAAGAACCUGAAACCGUGUACGUACAAGCAGUGGGAGCACCUUCGGGUGUGACUGCGUACCUUUUGUAUAAUGGGUCAGCGACUUAUAUUCUGUAGCAAGGUUAACCGUAUAGGGGAGCCGCAGGGAAACCGAGUCUUAACUGGGCGUUAAGUUGCAGGGUAUAGACCCGAAACCCGGUGAUCUAGCCAUGGGCAGGUUGAAGGUUGGGUAACACUAACUGGAGGACCGAACCGACUAAUGUUGAAAAAUUAGCGGAUGACUUGUGGCUGGGGGUGAAAGGCCAAUCAAACCGGGAGAUAGCUGGUUCUCCCCGAAAGCUAUUUAGGUAGCGCCUCGUGAAUUCAUCUUCGGGGGUAGAGCACUGUUUCGGCUAGGGGUCAUCCCGACUUACCAACCCGAUGCAAACUACGAAUACCGAAGAAUGUUAUCACGGGAGACACACGGCGGGUGCUAACGUCCGUCGUGAAGAGGGAAACAACCCAGACCGCCAGCUAAGGUCCCAAAGUCAUGGUUAAGUGGGAAACGAUGUGGGAAGGCACAGACAGCCAGGAUGUUGGCUUAGAAGCAGCCAUCAUUUAAAGAAAGCGUAAUAGCUCACUGGUCGAGUCGGCCUGCGCGGAAGAUGUAACGGGGCUAAACCAUGCACCGAAGCUGCGGCAGCGACACUAUGUGUUGUUGGGUAGGGGAGCGUUCUGUAAGCCUGCGAAGGUGACCUGUGAGGGUUGCUGGAGGUAUCAGAAGUGCGAAUGCUGACAUAAGUAACGAUAAAGCGGGUGAAAAGCCCGCUCGCCGGAAGACCAAGGGUUCCUGUCCAACGUUAAUCGGGGCAGGGUGAGUCGACCCCUAAGGCGAGGCCGAAAGGCGUAGUCGAUGGGAAACAGGUUAAUAUUCCUGUACUUGGUGUUACUGCGAAGGGGGGACGGAGAAGGCUAUGUUAGCCGGGCGACGGUUGUCCCGGUUUAAGCAUGUAGGCUGAUUGUCCAGGCAAAUCCGGAUAAUCAAGGCUGAGGUGUGAUGACGAGGCACUACGGUGCUGAAGUAACAAAUGCCCUGCUUCCAGGAAAAGCCUCUAAGCAUCAGGUAACAUCAAAUCGUACCCCAAACCGACACAGGUGGUCAGGUAGAGAAUACCAAGGCGCUUGAGAGAACUCGGGUGAAGGAACUAGGCAAAAUGGUGCCGUAACUUCGGGAGAAGGCACGCUGGUGUGUAGGUGAAGUCCCUGCGGAUGGAGCUGAGACCAGUCGAAGAUACCAGCUGGCUGCAACUGUUUAUUAAAAACACAGCACUGUGCAAACACGAAAGUGGACGUAUACGGUGUGACGCCUGCCCGGUGCCGGAAGGUUAAUUGAUGGGGUUAUCCGUAAGGAGAAGCUCUUGAUCGAAGCCCCGGUAAACGGCGGCCGUAACUAUAACGGUCCUAAGGUAGCGAAAUUCCUUGUCGGGUAAGUUCCGACCUGCACGAAUGGCGUAAUGAUGGCCAGGCUGUCUCCACCCGAGACUCAGUGAAAUUGAACUCGCUGUGAAGAUGCAGUGUACCCGCGGCAAGACGGAAAGACCCCGUGAACCUUUACUAUAGCUUGACACUGAACAUUGAGCCUUGAUGUGUAGGAUAGGUGGGAGGCUUUGAAGCGUGGACGCCAGUCUGCGUGGAGCCAACCUUGAAAUACCACCCUUUAAUGUUUGAUGUUCUAACGUUGGCCCCUGACCGGGGUUGCGGACAGUGUCUGGUGGGUAGUUUGACUGGGGCGGUCUCCUCCCAAAGCGUAACGGAGGAGCACGAAGGUUAGCUAAUCCUGGUCGGACAUCAGGAGGUUAGUGCAAUGGCAUAAGCUAGCUUGACUGCGAGCGUGACGGCGCGAGCAGGUGCGAAAGCAGGUCAUAGUGAUCCGGUGGUUCUGAAUGGAAGGGCCAUCGCUCAACGGAUAAAAGGUACUCCGGGGAUAACAGGCUGAUACCGCCCAAGAGUUCAUAUCGACGGCGGUGUUUGGCACCUCGAUGUCGGCUCAUCACAUCCUGGGGCUGAAGUAGGUCCCAAGGGUAUGGCUGUUCGCCAUUUAAAGUGGUACGCGAGCUGGGUUUAGAACGUCGUGAGACAGUUCGGUCCCUAUCUGCCGUGGGCGCUGGAGAAUUGAGGGGGCUGCUCCUAGUACGAGAGGACCGGAGUGGACGCAUCACUGGUGUUCGGGUUGUCAUGCCAAUGGCACUGCCCGGUAGCUAAAUGCGGAAGAGAUAAGUGCUGAAAGCAUCUAAGCACGAAACUUGCCCCGAGAUGAGUUCUCCCUGAGACUUUAAGUCUCCUGAAGGAACGUUAAAGACGAUGACGUUGAUAGGCCGGGUGUGUAAGCGCAGCGAUGCGUUGAGCUAACCGGUACUAAUGAACCGUGAGGCUUAACCU
rnacentral:rRNA from 1 species